UAUACCUUGUAUAUCCACAAGGUGGCAGUAAUGCAAAAACAGUUGUAAUGAAACCGCGCAGAACAAGAAGGUUUCACGGCUUGUGCCUGCUCAUGCGCAAGACUUCAAAUUUAACUGAAAAAGGCUGUUUUGGCGCCAAGCUGCUGUUUCUUUGAGAGAUCCUGCCUUUACCUGCUCCCUCCUAUACUGAUGUGGUGUAUGUGGUACUGCUGAGCUUGUAUGUGGUGGAAGCAGAAUAUGUGAGGAUUACUACUGCUGCACAUGUUCCAAGGCUUUUUACACAACUUGACCAAUACACUGACCAGCUCAUAAAAGUCUUCAAGAAAAAAGGAGGCGUUGCAGGGAAGAAAAUUAGACAAACUUUGGCCCCAGCCACACAGAAGGAAACCAUUGAAAAGGGGAGGGAGUGUGUCCUCAGGGCACUACCUUUUUACCUGAAUGAAGACCCAAGCAUCCUCUUCAAAGAAUAAUUGCUACAGCUGUUCAGAGGGAGCUGGAACAAAUUACCCUUGCUAUCUUUACCAUCGAAAGAGCUGAUGCCAGCACUCCUCCAGCCGAUGUGGGUAUAACCAUCUAGUGUGUCCUGCAUGACCUGGAAGACCUGGCCUCUGCAUGUGCACUCUUAAUGGGUGGGAUAUAUGCACUGAAUCUCAGUUAACCUCAAGACUGAAAGCUAAGAGACAAUCAAAAGUAUUGAGAUUUAAAGGAUUUAAUUGAGAGAUGAUACUGCACCAGAAAUGUUGAAGGGUGGUGUGUAUAUUAGCGUUCAAGGCAUAUUGUUAUGAGGUGGAAAUAUGUUCAUAUUCAGUUUGUGUUACAUUGUGUGCAUUGUAAAGGUAAUUGCAAUACAUACUAAAAUUAAGGGUAAGUUAGGAGGUUGAUCUGAUAUCCUCGUGUUGGUGUUGUUCCCAGAUCAUCAUACUAAAUGUUGUUCCAGGAUCAA